rnacentral:rRNA from 1 species
GUGUCAGCAGCCGCGGUAAGACGAACCGUGCAAACGUUAUUCGGAAUCACUGGGCUUAAAGGGCGCGUAGGCGGGCGACCAAGUCUGUGGUGAAAUCCUCCAGCUCAACUGGAGAACUGCCGCGGAUACUGGUUGUCUCGAGGGAGGUAGGGGCGCGCGGAACACUAGGUGGAGCGGUGAAAUGCGUUGAUAUCUAGUGGAACUCCGGUGGCGAAGGCGGCGCGCUGGACCUCUUCUGACGCUGAGGCGCGAAAGCCAGGGGAGCGAACGGGAUUAGAUACCCCAGUAGUCC